ensembl:lncRNA
CUCCAGGUGAGUGUAAAUAGCUGCUCCUUGUUGGACUCCAGGUGAGUGUAAAUGGCUGCUGAUUGUUGGACUCCAGGUGAGGGUAAAUGGCUGCUGAUUGCUGGACUCCAGGUGAGUGUAAAUGGUUGCUGAUUGUUGGACUCCAGGUGAGUGUAAAUGGUUGCUGAUUGUUGGACUCCAGGUGAGGGUAAAUGGUUGCUGAUUGCUGGACUCCAGGUGAGGGUAAAUGGUUGCUGAUUGCUGGACUCCAGGUGAGUGUAAAUGGAAGCGUGUCGGAACCAGAAAGAAGAAGAAUGGUUCUCGGUGCACCUGCCUACUUCCCACGCGUCCGGACUUCAAAUUGCUUUGAGCGCCUGUACCAGCUGUCUUCUGCCUGGGGAUUGGGUCGGGAUCCCUCCAUGGCUGUGGGUGUCCCUCCAGCUACCUCUCCCUGUC